UACGGAGGGUGCGAGCGUUGUCCGGAAUCACUGGGCGUAAAGGGCGCGUAGGCGGCCCGGCAAGUCUGUGGUGAAAGCUCAGGGCUCAACUCUGAGUCGGCCACGGAUACUGCGGGGCUCGAGCACGGUAGAGGCAGGUGGAAUUCCGGGUGUAGCGGUGGAAUGCGUAGAGAUCGGGAGGAACACCUGCGGCGAAAGCGGCUCACUGGACCAUAACUGACGCUGAUGCACGAAAGCUAGGGGAGCAAACAGG
rnacentral:rRNA from 1 species